UACGAAGGGGGCUAGCGUUGUUCGGAUUUACUGGGCGUAAAGCGCACGUAGGCGGAUCGAUCAGUCAGGGGUGAAAUCCCAGAGCUCAACUCUGGAACUGCCUUUGAUACUGUCGAUCUGGAGUAUGGAAGAGGUGAGUGGAAUUCCGAGUGUAGAGGUGAAAUUCGUAGAUAUUAGGAAGAACACCGGUGGCGAAGGCGGCUCUCUGGAACGGUACUGACGCUGAGACGCGAAAGCGUGGGGAGCGAACAGG
rnacentral:rRNA from 1 species